AGGAGAUCAAGACCAUCCUGGCUAACACGGUGAAACCCCGUCUCUACUAAAAAUACAAAAAACUAGCUGGGCGUGGUGGCGGGUGCCUGUGGUCCCAGCUACUCGGGAGGCUGAGGCAGGAAAAUGGCAUGAACCCAGGAGGCGGAGCUUGCAGUGAGCCGAGAUAGCACGACUGCACUCCAGCCUGGGCAACAGAGCGAGACUCCGUCUCAAAAAAAAAGACUGGUUUCUUAACUAAGUCACAAACUCCCAACUAUUGAGUCUGGAAUCUUCAUUUAAUGAGAACACCAAGGGCAUGGCUGUCAAUCCUAUGACACCUGUCUGAGCCCUUGAAAAAAGUAGACCACAGAACUUGGGAGGUGCCUGCAGAGGUUCUGGGGCUGAGGGACCAGUUGGAGAAGAGGAAAAAGGAGAGGCGAAGAUGACAAAAUCACGGGUAAGGAGGCGAGAUCUGGACAGAAAAACCAGGGAUUAGCCAAGCGGGAACCAGUGAAAACGAACGUGCAGUCCAUUUUUUUCUAGAUCUGGAAGAUACAGAUCUAGAGGAGAUCUAGAAGGACUG
rnacentral:lncRNA from 1 species